GAAAUGAUAGCUCAGGGCUAGCGGGCUCAGGGCCUGAGGGAAAAAGGAUAGCUCAGGGCUAUAAGACUCAGGGUCUAGAAGGAAUGGAUAGCUCAUAGCUAUGAGGCUCAGGGCCUAAAAAAAAAGGAUAGCUCAGGGCUAGCGGGCUUAGGGCCUAAGGGAAAAAGGAUAGCUCAGGGCUAUAAGACUCAGGGUCUAGAAGGAAUGGAUAGCUCAUGGCUACGAGGCUUAGGGCCUAAAAAAAAGGAUAACUCAGGGCUACUAGGCUCAGGGCCCAAGGGAAGAAGAAUGCUCAGGGCUGUAAGACUCGGGGUCUAGAAGGAAUGAAUAACUCAGAUCUACGAGGCUCAGGGCCUAGAAGGGAAUAAUAGAGAAGACCAACUCGAAAGUGGACAUGAAAUAAAUUGGCUCAAAGCCAUAUACUCAAAAUGUCAAGGGUCGGACUACUGAAACCAAGAAGGGAAAUAUGCCCCAGUAUCCAGGGUGCUCACACUGCUGAAACAACCAGUAAAC
rnacentral:lncRNA from 1 species